UAUGAUUGAAUGUGAGACGAACGGCAAAACAAUUUCACAUAUCAAAAAAAUAAUAUUAUAUUACCUAUACGUAAUAUCAGUUCGUUUUCCGUUAAAGUACGUUAAACUGUAUCGAUACAUGACGACAGCACUAUGACGUUCAUAUCAGACGGAAGCGGAAGUUAAAGUGUGGGAUAAAACAGAUUUCUAAGACGUGCUCCGACGGUCAAACACGGCGGUGCGACUGAUGUUUGAACUUAUUUCUAAGCGCAUGUACGAAAAUACUAUAACCAUUUUGUAAUUCAAAAUACGUUCAAACGCACGUAUAUGUUAUGUAUUAAAGCG